CCUCUUUCAAAUAGCUGGAGACCAGCUAGCCAUAAAGUAAUAAGGAUGGUGUGGGCCACAGGGACGGGCUGAAGAAACAGAACUGGGGUGGGUCCGACAUUCCAAGGGUUUUGGUUGGUCAAGAGUAGAGAAAAAAAAAAAAAUACCGUGGGGGAAAAACAAGUGGUACCGUAAUAUCCCGAGUAUAAGUCCCCAACCAUUUGUAAGACUCUUGCCACGCUCCCACAAUUCCCACCUCCAAGUCCAGUACAGACAGAAACAGCAAAAUCCCUGCCUUCCGAUCCCUGCCCUGCUAAUUAUUGCGGCAAAAUUUUCCCGCCCAUGUAGAGGUGGCUGGGAGACGGCAAAGCUGAUGACUGGACAGGCUGGCUCAGAGCCCUGCCCAAGACAGGAUGAAGAAGGUGAAAUUUGGCACUUUCGAACCCCUCUUGUCAUAAAUGCUUUGAGGUCCCUCCCCAGCAACCACCCCCAUUGGGCCAGCAAAAGAGAGUGGAGUUUGUCUCUCCAUCCCCAGUUUCUAUGGAUUUGCCCAGAAAAAGGCAAAAGGGGUUCUCCUUGGCUGGUGGAAUUUGGGGGAGAGGAAUCCAAAAAAGUAGGGGUUAGUUGAAAAUGUUUUUUUUUUCUCUUUUUCUUUUUUUCUUAUAAAGAUUCUAAGAAAAAACUCAGGGUGAGAGGAACGAGGAAGGGGAUCCAAUUUAGCUCAGCGUCCGAAAGUGUUUUCUUUGCCUCUUAAGGGGCCUCCCCUCUAAGAGAGGUGGUUCCUCCCCUCUAUCUAAGAUCCUGCCCCCCCCCCCCCCAGAUCGGCUCAGUUCCGAGGAAGUUUGGCACUUUUUGCUUUUAAAGGGGGGAAUGAAAGAGUCGAGAAUUCAGGAAGGGAAGAAUACAGACAAAGGUAGAGACAGGACAGAGAACCGUGGGGGAGGGGCAACCACGAGAGGAAAACCCAGUGGGCCUUAGGGAGGCAGAGAAAUGA
rnacentral:lncRNA from 1 species